rnacentral:lncRNA from 1 species
UCCCAGUGGGUUCGGCCGCCGACCUCGCCGACUCACCCAUGUCACGCCCCGGGGUCCCUUUUUGUUUGAACACAGCAGAAAAAGCGUCUAAAUUUUUUUUUUGAAAACCUGACCCUAGAGUAUGCCAGAUCCGCCACAAAUACAGGGAUUCCACUGUUCACACGGACAGAGUCUCCCCUAUAUUUGCACGGCGUCGCACAAGUACAACAGUACAAACAGGAUACAACCACAACUAAAUGAAUAUAGAAAUAAUUAUUCAUUCAUACAUUCAUACAUUCACCAUUCACAUCACAGAUUUGCAUUUAAUAUUUAAACAUAAAUCCACAGAAAAUUCUUUUGAAAACUGUUUCCUACACGGAAACCUUUAUUCUUUAAAAAUGCUACCACGAGCGGUAGAAAACCUUUCCAUUUCACAAAAUCCACAAAUCCAUUUAUUAUAUUCAUGAAAACCCAUAUUUUCAAAUGUAAUAAAAUAUACUGAACCAUAUAAACUAUCUAAGCUAUAUCAACAUAAUAGUAAGGGUAGAACUAAACCGAAUAACCUGGGUCGGAAGCUCUAUCGACCGCUACGUAUCUUACGUCUCGUCUCAACCCUCACCGCCCGCGAUACCUGAAAAAUAGUGGGGGAGGUGAGAACAUGUAAACAUGUCUCCCCUCCCAGUAGGUACCGCAAGCCGAAGAAGGCGAGGAGUACUCACCGGAUCAGGAAUAGCUAACAACAACACCGGUCAGUGGAAAUAUAGUAGGAACAAUAAUAAACGAGAGAGAUGUAUAAGGUAAUGAGCAGAUAUACUGAAUACAGUAGCAAUAAACUGAAAGAAAGUAGGAACUAGACUGAAUAACAACUACCGCUACUGUAACUGGAACAGAAAGCAUACAUGAAUAUCUACUAUAGUA